AUUUGCUUUAAAUUUAAAAGAUUUGGCGGUAAUUUAGUCUAGUUAGAGGAACCUGUUUGUAUUGAUCGAUAUACCACGUUUUAUCUUACUUAUUUUUAAUGGUUUGUAUACCAUCAUUAUCAGGUAAUUUUAUAUAAAAGUGAAUUACUGGAAUUAAUAUUGGUUAAGAAAAUUAGAUCAUGGUGCAGCUUAUAAAUAAGUGUAAAUGGGUUACAAUAAAAUUUAUUUAACUACGGAGUGAUUUUUGUAAUAAUAGUUAUAAAGGUGGAUUUAAUUGUAAUGUAAAUUUAAUAAGUUUAUGAGAUAUUAGCUCUAAAUUAUGUACACAUCGCC
rnacentral:rRNA from 1 species